rnacentral:rRNA from 1 species
GACGAACCGUGCGAACGUUAUUCGGAAUCACUGGGCUUAAAGGGCGCGUAGGCGGGCUCGCAGGUCAGGGGUGAAAGCCCACGGCUCAACCGUGGAAGUGCCUUUGAUACCGUGAGUCUCGAGGGAGGUAGGGGCGUGCGGAACUUCCGGUGGAGCGGUGAAAUGCGUAGAUAUCGGAAGGAACAUCGGUGGCGAAAGCGGCGCGCUGGACCUCUUCUGACGCUGAGGCGCGAAAGCCGGGGGAGCAAACGGG